rnacentral:rRNA from 1 species
GAGCGGUAUUGUUUCUUCGGAAACGAGAGAGCGGCGCACGGGUGCGGAACACGUGUGCAACCUGCCUUUAUCUGGGGGAUAGCCUUUCGAAAGGAAGAUUAAUACCCCAUAAUAUUUUGAAUGGCAUCAUUUAAAAUUGAAAACUCCGGUGGAUAGAGAUGGGCACGCGCAAGAUUAGAUAGUUGGUAGGGUAGCGGCCUACCAAGUCAGUGAUCUUUAGGGGGCCUGAGAGGGUGAUCCCCCACACUGGUACUGAGACACGGACCAGACUCCUACGGGAGGCAGCAGUGAGGAAUAUUGGACAAUGGGUGAGAGCCUGAUCCAGCCAUCCCGCGUGAAGGACGACGGCCCUAUGGGUUGUAAACUUCUUUUGUACAGGGAUAAACCUUUCCACGUGUGGAAAGCUGAAGGUACUGUACGAAUAAGCACCGGCUAACUCCGUG